rnacentral:rRNA from 1 species
GACGGGGGGGGGCAAGUGUUCUUCGGAAUGACUGGGCGUAAAGGGCACGUAGGCGGUGAAUCGGGUUGAAAGUGAAAGUCGCCAAAAAGUGGCGGAAUGCUCUCGAAACCAAUUCACUUGAGUGAGACAGAGGAGAGUGGAAUUUCGUGUGUAGGGGUGAAAUCCGUAAAUAUACGAAGGAACGCCAAAAGCGAAGGCAGCUCUCUGGGUCCCUACCGACGCUGGGGUGCGAAAGCCAUGGGGAGCGAACAGG